rnacentral:misc_RNA from 1 species
GAUGAAGAACGCAGCGAAAUGCGAUAAGUAAUGUGAAUUGCAGAAUUCAGUGAAUCAUCGAAUCUUUGAACGCACAUUGCGCCCCCUGGUAUUCCGGGGGGCAUGCCUGUUCGAGCGUCAUUACAACCCUCAAGCUCUGCUUGGUAUUGGGCCCCGCCAGUUCUGGCGGGCCCUAAAGUCAGUGGCGGUGCCUUCCGGCUCCGAGCGUAGUAAUUCUUCUCGCUCUGGAGACCCGGUUGUGUGCUUGCCAACAACCCCAAAUUUUUUAAGGUUGACCUCGGAUCAGGUAGGGAUACCCGCUGAACUUAAGCAUAUCAAUAAGCGGAGGA